rnacentral:misc_RNA from 1 species
ACGUCCGACAGAGAAAAUAAUUUUAUUGCUUCGUCACUGUAAUAUAUUCGUCAGCACAUGACGCAAUAAGCUGUCCUCUAACUCAAAUAGCACUCGACUCUCCAGGUUUACAACUUUUUUUCAUAAAAGUAAGUAUGAUUUGCAUCAUACGUUCAGUCCUGCACAGCAACGAGCCCAAAAUGGACGCAUCGGGAUUUCUCUCAUCGCCCGCUACCUGGGAGUUAGCGAUCGCCUCUUCUCUAUACAUUCUUUACAGAUAUGCCACUUCCACAUUUAACUACUUUUCCGACCAAGGAAUUCCUGGUCCCAAACCAAUCCCCAUCUUCGGUAAUAUGUGGGGCGUUUGGAAAGCGAACCUUCCUGCGUACGACUUGGCAUUAGUAAAUAAAUACGGAAAGGUUUUUGGUUAUUUCGAUGGCCCGAUUCCAAACCUUUGGAUCACGGAUGCCGAUGUGAUAAAGGCGAUGUACGUCAAAGAUUUCGACCAUUUUGUUGAUCGCAGAUCUUUCGAGAUAAAAACGAAAGUCAUGCGCAAAUGGUUGAGUCUAAUGAGAGGUCAAGAGUGGAAGGACAUUCGCUCGUCCGUUACACCUGCCUUUACCACCGGAAAAAUCAAGCGGAUGUCCGUCUUGAUCAAAGAUUGUGUUGCCAGUUUGUGUGACCGUGUCACGACUGUCAUCGAGAAAGAUGGAAAACUUAACGCCAAGAUGGUGUUUGGUGCCUUCACCAUGGACGUAAUAGCAAGAUGUGCUUUCGGUUUAAAAAUUGACACUCUCGGGGAGAAAGACGACCCUUUCACUAAAAAUGCUCACAACAUUUUCAGUCCAGCAGCUAAUAAGACACCCGUUAUUCUUCUACCAUAUAUGUACCCUGGCAUGUUUUCUGUGUUUGGAUUGCUCACCGAGCGUUUAGUUAUUGUCACCAAAGAAAUGAAAUUCUUUUUCAAAUUAUUAGAAAACGUACUGAAGGAUCGCUUGGAGUCCAAACAGAAAUUCAACGAUUUUAUUGAAUUGGCUGAUGAAGCAAUUUCAGAAUACACGAAAGAAGUCGAUGGAAAAACUGUGCCCAUGUGGACUCGCGAGGCUAUACAUGAGAUCAUAAUGGGACAGUCAUCAUUCUUCAUGCUGGCGGCAUUUGACACAACAGCCACAACUUUGACUAGUAUCUGUUUCCAACUUGCCUUAAAUCCGGAUAUUCAAGAAAAACUGUACGAAAGCAUCGCUGCGAAAAUGGAAGAUUAUGAUGAAGUUUCCUAUGAAAUGGUCCAAGACGUUCCCUAUCUGGAAAUGGUUAUUCAAGAAGUAUUGCGCUUUUAUCCACCCGUUAUCCGUCUUGAGCGAGUGUGUACGAAAGAUUACUCCUAUGACAACGGCCGCAUCAAAAUAAAAAAAGGUCAAGUUAUUACCAUUCCCACUUAUGUUCUCCAUCAUUCGGAAGAAUACUACCCCGAUCCAGAAAAAUUCGAUCCUGAACGGUGGACUCCUGAAAACAAAGCUAAACGUAAUCCUUACUCUUACAUGGCAUUCGGCACUGGUCCACGCAAUUGCAUUGGAAUGCGCUUUGUUAUGGAAGAAUUGAAAUUGGCUCUUUGUUCUUUGGUUCAUAAAUUUCGCUUUUUUCCAAUUGCAGAGACACCGGAGAAGCUCCAGUUUGACUCCGGACUUAAUCCAGUCAUGCAGCCGAUCGGUGCGACGGUGGGCAUUGAACUCCGUCAAUCAAAUUAGUUAAAACUGAAGAGUGUUGUUGCGUCAUUCUGUUAGGAAAAUUAAAAAGGGCAUUUCAACAGCCGGUUGUAAAUGUUUGCCUUCUAUUAAUAACUAAAAAGUAAAUAAAUAAAUAAAACAUAACAGCAAGGUGUCUGUUGAGCAAUUGUCUGACAACAGCGCCUUCUCUCCCUCCCUCUUUAUUUUGGUCGUGUCGAAUCCCCCACAUUUUUGCGAAAUGGAAAGUUGAAUUAGUUCGAGAACAAGAGCUCACGAGUUAAGAACCCACGUGUUGGUAUUGGCCACAAUACUGUUUCUUGAACCAGAUUCCAUUAGUGUUCAAUUCUGAAUUAGCAACAUGUCCACUCGGCGGGGAAUUUUGAUAUGCCACCUCAACUCACAAUCACUUUUCCGAACAAAGGAAUCCCUAGUCCCAAGCCAAUCCCUUUCUUCGGUAAUGUAUGGGACGGAACGAGUAGUGCUCAAUAAGAUCUACUUAUUACAUAAGUGCGUAAAUCCUUUUGAAGAAACGUUUUCGCUUAGUUCAUUUCGCUAAUAAAAGUUUUGGAGAAAAUAAUCAUCGCCGCCCUAAAAGGUCUAUAUUUCUAUUAACAAAUAAAAAAUUCAUAACACA